GGAGGUGGCCAGGCAGUCGCGUCGAGGGGCAACCCUCGCCGAGGAAAGUCCGGGCUCCACAGGGCAGGGUGCCAGGUAACGCCUGGGCGGCGCGAGCCGACGGAAAGUGCAACAGAAAGCAAACCGCCGAACGGCCCGCAAGGGUGCGUGGUAAGGGUGAAACGGUGGGGUAAGAGCCCACCGCCUGCGGGGCCAACGUCGCAGGGCACGGCAAACCCCACCCGGAGCAAGGCCAAAUAGGGGUGCAUUGGGCUGGCCCGGCCCGCACCCGGGUAGGCUGCUGGAGCCCCGCCGCGAGGCGGGGCCGAGAGGAAUGGCUGCCACCGGCCGCAAGGUCGGCACAGAACCCGGCUUAACGGCCACCUCCGUCU
rnacentral:RNase_P_RNA from 1 species